CUGAAGAUGCGGGUGAGGCCGAGUCGCCGGGCGCUCUCGGGGGCGCUGUGCCGGAGGCUUGGGCAAGGGGGCCCGGAGCCCUGAUUACAAGCUGCAGCGGCGGCAGCAGGAGCCCUCCCAGGUCCUGUUUUCUUGGAGAAUUCUGCAGCCCGCGACUCAAGGCAAUUCACUUCCACCCGAAACCUCAGCUCCAAAUGCCUUGUUUUAGAAGCUAGAGCUUUAGAACCUCCGCUUUCUGGGAGAGCGGGUGACAGGCUGUGAGGCUCUCGCGUCCCCUCUGAUUCCUGCAGUUACCGAGGAGGGAGAGUAUGCUAGAAAUGGCUUUGCUGCUGAAUGCAUUAUCUUGCCAUUUUCGUAUCCCGAUACAGCACACACGAUCGCCUGAUCGAUGGGAGACUGAGGCGCCGAAUGAUAGAGGGAAUAAACAUUUGCCCUGGAUAAAAAUGUUCUUGGCUGUGUUCCAGCCCUAAUAAGGACCUAGAGCAGAAGUUUGUUUUCAGUCACCUAAUUUUACCCAAAAGAUUACUACGGUUGUUAUGUCUGUGUUUUACACAGGCCGACAAGUGUUGAUAGGGGGAUCUGAGGUCCACACAAGGAGGAUGACUAUCCUGAAUUAGAUUUGUGACAAAUUCAACCUUAACAAUUGUGGUAUAGAGAGAGCAUACUUUUCAUAUACGAUCUUCAUAUGCUGCCUAAGCCUACAUACCUAAAUUGCUAUUCAAAGAAAUACAGUUUAUUGAGGACCAACCCGACUUAAGUUAGAAAAUGUAACAUUAAAAUUCUUAUUUUAUGUGUGAAAUAAAUGUAAGUUUGCUGUUCUUUUAAAUAUUUGGAGAAUAAAAAGUACAGGAUAAAAACAUUAAUUUUGUGACCCAUGGUUCCUUAAAUUUAACAUAUUUCAUAGCACUUAAAGUUUAUUAAACUAUUUAAGUAUUUGAGGAUUAUAUUAAAUCAUAUGAUGAAGUUUGAUGAACUUCAAAAUAGAGCCAUAGGCUUUUACAUCUCUCAGCUAGCUCUUACCUGGUUUGUACUUAGACCAGUCUCAAAAGUCACACAUUUUAAUUUUAUAC